rnacentral:tRNA from 1 species
GCCCGCGUGGUGGAAUGGUAGACACAGGGGACUUAAAAUCCCCAGGCCUUGUGCCGUGCCGGUUCGAGUCCGGCCGCGGGUACCA